CUCCUCACAUGAAGGUGGAGAAAGCGUGAGCAAGGCCUGUCUCCAAAGCAGUCCAGGCAGGGGGAGUGGGAAGCAGAGCAGGUUUUCUUUCUGGUGCUUGCGUUACCCGGCCUCUUAGGUACACUUGCUGGGAGCAGUGAGCGCUGGGUGGGGUGGGCUCCCUUAGGCCUGCAGGGCAUUCAGCUGAUUGGAGUAGCCCGCUCUCUGAGGAGCCCUGACAAGGGGAAGAGCAGUUAAGACCCAGGCCCGCCGGAUCAGCCUAAGUGGAGUUCAGACCGGGCUGUGGAGAGAAUACCCAGUGGCUGAGAAUUUCAGCAGAGCAAUCUAGGGACUGUAGAAGCUGUUACAGUCUUUUGAAGACCUCCAUUUGUGCAGCAUCCUGCAGCAGAUACAAGAAAAAUAUGACCUGCAUCAGGUGAAGAAGACCUGUUCAGAGUGCUCGCCCUCUUUCAGUCAGGCUGGCUGGUGAAGGACCAGGAGGUGCUGAGGAAGUCAGUGAAGCUGCUGCAGGCCCUGGCCCAGUAUCAGAACCACUUGCAGGAGCAGCCCCAGAAAGCCCUGGUGGACAUUCUCUUCGAGGUAUGAGCUCACCAGCCUUAUGGGCUCGGGAGACACUUCCUGUUACAAAGACAUCAAGAGGGCUCAGAUGAGAAUCAGGAACAGCACUGUUCCAUAGAAAUAUAAAGACAUAUAAUUUGAAGUGUUUCAGUGACUUUGUUGAAAAGGUAAAAAGAGGCCGGGCACAGUGGCUCAUGCCUGUAAUCUCAGUACUUUGGGAGGUGGGUGGAUCACCUGAAGUCGGAGUUUGAGACCAGCCUGACCAACAUGGAGAAACCCUAUCUCUAAUAAAAAUAUAAAAAAAUUAGCCA
rnacentral:lncRNA from 13 species